UACGGGGGGAGCAAGCGUUGUUCGGAUUUACUGGGCGUAAAGGGCGCGUAGGCGGCGCAACAAGUCACUUGUGAAAUCUCCGGGCUUAACCCGGAGCGGCCAAGUGAUACUGUCGUGCUAGAGUGCGGAAGGGGCUACUGGAAUUCUCGGUGUAGCGGUGAAAUGCGUAGAUAUCAAGUGGAACACCAGUGGCGAAGGCGAAUCCCUGGAAAAUACCUGACACUGAGGCACGAAAGCUAGGGGAGCAAACAGG
rnacentral:rRNA from 1 species